AUCUAGCUGACAAGUCUCAGAUAGGACGAAACACACGUCCUGGAU
rfam:Schistosoma mansoni strain Puerto Rico chromosome 4, complete genome